UGCUUAAAGGCAUAUUGGAGGGGUUGAAUGUUGGAUUUGAUCUCACACUUGUUGCUGGCACCGGGGGGAUGAUAGGGGCGAAAAAUCCACUUCAGCUCUACUUCAACCUAGAUGAUCUCGCUAAUCACGAUUUGUUUGCCGAACACGACGCAAGUUUAUCACGAGGCGACAUUUACUUUGGUGACAAUAUCAGCUUCAACGCGACGAUUUGGCAGAGCGUCCUCGACUACUUCAUCGACGACCGCACUGUGAGCUUGGGAGCAGCUGCUCACGCACGGCUAAAUCGAAUCAAAACGGAAAGAGCACGAAAUCCUGAUUUCACAUUUAAUGCGAAGGACGAUAUAAUUAGCUAUACUGAAACUGCGCAGUAUUUAAGUGUUUUUGGGAACCCUGAUACAGGAAACCCUCGAGUUGAUUGGAUCAGGAUUUUCUUCGAGCAAGAACGGUUGCCAUAUCUUGAGGGAUGGCAGCGACCAUCGAAACAAACGAAUGCGCUAACGCUGGCGCCUUUAAUCGCAAAGCUCAUGAUUGCCGGCGGAGAAGUUCUUCCCGAGACAUUAAUGAUGGUAGAAAACACUUUGGGAAAGAUAUUGACUGGCAAACCCAUAGAAGGUUU
rnacentral:sRNA from 1 species